AGAGUUUGAUCAUGGCUCAGAUUGAACGCUGGCGGUAUGCUUAACACAUGCAAGUCGAACGCGAAAGCACCUUCGGGUGUAAGUAGAGUGGCGGACGGGUGAGUAAGGCAUGGGAAUCUGCCCUAUAGCGGGGGAUAACUUGGGGAAACCCAAGCUAAUACCGCAUACACCUACGGGUAAAAGAUGGCCUCUUCUUGAAAGCUAUUACUAUAGGAUGAGCCCAUGUAAGAUUAGCUAGUUGGUAGGGUAAAAGCCUACCAAGGCUACGAUCUUUAGCUGGUCUGAGAGGACGAUCAGCCACACUGGGACUGAGACACGGCCCAGACUCCUACGGGAGGCAGCAGUGGGGAAUAUUGGACAAUGGGGGCAACCCUGAUCCAGCAAUACCGCGUGUGUGAAGAAGGCCUGCGGGUUGUAAAGCACUUUUAUCUGUGAGGAAGGGUUUAAUGUUAAUACCAUUAGACAUUGACGU
rnacentral:rRNA from 1 species